GGGAGAAGAAGAAAAAAAAAAGCGACAAAAAGUCAUGUAAUCCAGAUACACUUACUGUGACGUGCUUGUGUUAUCUGCUUGCUCGUAUUUAUUGGAAUUAUUAAAUAAAUGCAAACGCAGAACAAAGACUGUCUUUGUUAUUUUUUUAAGGAGGGGUAAUAAAAUAGGCAGAUAACUUCUAUGCUUCAUGCCUGGUGGGGAGUAUAAUCUCCUUGUCUUCUACGCUGGGAAGUCCACAUGGAAGAGAACAUCUAGAAUGGUCUGCUGGUGGAACAUUCUGGCAUACGUCCUUACGCCCUUUGGAAAUGUUCAUAUUGUUUCUCAGUGAGAGCAGAGAAAUAUAUUGUUUGCACUGUCUUAAAUAUAUUUCAUGUUUUUACUGGAGAGCGAUGCAAUAUGAACAUUAAAGGAGGCUUGGGGGUCGAUUCCAGAAUUCAGUGCUUUGUGCUAUAAUAUCAAAAUUAUUUAAAUUAUUUGGGCACUCAUGGAGAGCUACAUCUGCUACAUGCAAAUUUACUGAAUUCACCAUAAUUUAUCACAUACUGCACAAUGUUGGGGGAAAUUUAAAACGCAGAAUCUAGGUCAAUGCACUGGUCAGGCGACUGUUGAGGUUUAACUCAUUUCCAUAACCUGAUGCACUUCUAGGAUUUCACUUUCUAGACAUUUUCUACAUCUGUGAUGCAACUGUUUUGACGUUUGGUUCUUGUCAAUUCUACCGCAUAAAUUGGCAUCUGACUGUUUCACCUAUUUGAUUUGAUUUCUUCAUUUUUUUUGCACAAUGCCGUGAGAAUCGACCUUUCUUUAAUGAGUGACGUUCUGAUUCGUUUUGAAGGUUUGUGCUAAAACAGUACCACUACAUACAGCUCUGUCAGCCAAUCCAAGAUAUUGUUUGGGUUCAGACGCUAAGCCAACAUCUGUGGCGUUGUGCCCUAGCCAAAGCAAGAGACCCCAAAGUUGAGGCUUGUGGAUCCAGUCAUCAUCCCCCGGGUGCCUCUGGAGGAGAGCCAGAACAACUGGUGGAGAGAGCCGAGCCACGCCGGGGGGGUGGAGUCGUGCGCUUUGCACCUGACGUGAAAUAGACACGCCGCGAAACACGCCACGGAACACGCCGGCGUCCUGCCCCUCGGUCGCUAACAGGCGACCGCUUCCGCUGCGGGCCUGGAACACGGGACAAGUGGCUUGUAAAUAUGUCUGCACACAGAGGCGCUCCUCAAGGGGGGGGGGCUGACAGACUGAGAUACGUGAAAAGGGAUGCGACCAAACCCGCGUACGCAUGCUUCAGCUGGAUUAGGAAGUGGUUUGAAAUCUCCACUACCAAGAGAAAAGGUGCUAUGUUUCAUUAAUGAUGCGUGCAUCCAUAUCAGCUACAUAUAUGCAUUAUAUUGUUCAUUUUACAAACGCUAAACCCAUUAAGUGCUUCUUUAACUAUAUACUGUAUAGCGCGACCUGCAAUUGCAAAUAAAUCUAGGCUGAGUAUUGUA